rnacentral:rRNA from 1 species
UCUCAGUUCGGAUUGAAGGCUGAAAUUCGCCUUCAUGAAGCCGGAAUUGCUAGUAAUGGCAGGUCAGCAUACUGCCGUGAAUACGUUCCCGGGCCUUGUACACACCGCCCGUCACACCAUGGGAGUUUGUAACGCCCAAAGUCGGUGGCCUAACCUUUAUGGAGGGAGCCGCCUAAGGCGGGACAGAUGACUGGGGUGAAGUCGUAACAAGGUAAC